GAUGAAGAACGUAGCGAAAUGCGAUAAGUAGUGUGAAUUGCAGAAUUCAGUGAAUCAUCGAAUCUUUGAACGCACAUUGCGCCCCUUGGUAUUCCAUGGGGCAUGCCUGUUCGAGCGUCAUUUGUACCUUCAAGCUCUGCUUGGUGUUGGGUGUUUGUCUCGCCUCUGCGUGUAGACUCGCCUCAAAAUAAUUGGCAGCCGGCGUAUUGAUUUCGGAGCGCAGUACAUCUCGCGCUUUGCACUCAUAACGACGACGUCCAAAAGUACAUUUUUACACUCUUGACCUCGGAUCAGGUAGGGAUACCCGCUGAACUUAAGCAUAUCAAUAAGCGGACGA
rnacentral:misc_RNA from 1 species